GAGUCUCUCUUAAGAAGAAACUGCCCUUGCUGCAGGAGCACAGAUCAACACUUUAGGUUGAAACUGGAUGGUUUCAUUUGCCCUGAACAGCUCUCUGCUGAAACACCAGUGCCACUGGGGUCAGAGAGGAGCAUCCGGAUGGAAGUACUGCAGCAGAUCCGGGGCGUCUGCAGCAAUCAGAUCACGCUCGUGUGGGCCUAAGGACUCAACUGACUUGGCUUUAGAUAUCCCAGGAGACUCCUGCUUUCUGUCUUUUGCUAUCUGAAUAUUUUUCCAUCUGUUUCUAAGGGAUCACAGUGAGCAGUUGCCCUCAUGCCCCUUGAAACGGACCCAGACACAUGGGUUAGGCUGAGCAAGACCUGUGAAAAGGUAUUUCUGCACAGAUCAGCAAGACAAAAACCCGUUGAAUGUUUGGUGACCAGCUCAGCCCAAACCUUGGUUAAGCUUCAGCUUAUUCAAAAAGAAAGGAGAAACAUGUGGAAACUCUUUGUUGCAUAGUAGCUCCAAGAGGCUGGCACUGUCAGGGUGCCCUCAGUGAACUCUAAAAGAAAAGUCAAUGGGACUGCAGCAGUGCACACGAGAUCCAUACAGCCAGUUUCUGCCCCCAUCUUCACAUGGGUUCUAUGGAGGUGACACUUCUCUGAAGCUGGUCCGCAUACAUGAAAGUACCUGAGUUUUCUGUCUGUAAACACCACAUGGGGCUGGCUGUGUUACUACUCAGACAGAACAUAAAGAUGUACAAAGUUCUCCAAGUGCCACAUAUGACUAUUGCUGGACAAAGAACAGCUUUUCAUUUAUUGGCAUCAGGAGCAGAAUCAUGUGCAUUUGCCAUCCAUCAAGGGUCUUAGAAUACAUGUGUUUUAAAGGGAGACAAGCACAGGCAGAGAUGGAUCCAAACAAGCUGCAGCAUUAUCUCAAUUUGUUUUCGGGUAAUUCUAUAUGGGUAAAUAUUAAACUGUGUGAGAGGGAAGGCCCUGUGCCAGCCAAGAUUUAGCCAGAACCAGGCCUCCCCUCACCAUGUUUCUGUCUGCAAAGAGCAGGAGCUUUGCUAAAUUUGCAGCAGACAGCUCUGACCAACAGGCAGUUGUUCAAUUAUAUCUUAAGCCUCCUUGACACAUGAUAAAGAAACAUGUAUAUUAAAAUGCCAUGUAAAAACCAGGCUUCUCAGGGACUGUAAGCUGAGAUCUGUGCCAGCAAGUUUCAAAAUGAGGAUUUGACCCAUGAGAUCAUGUUAUCCCAUUCACAACACAGAGCAGAAGGAAAGUUUGGGGAUUCGAAUCCUUUUGAACGUGAUACUGUAGCUGUGAGAAGAGCCAGGGAUUUACAGAUUUGUAGAGCAGUAGAUACACACUUGUAUUUACUAAGGCAUCAGAUCUUGUACAGUUGGUCAAGUUCUCCAGCACAGAGCGGUCUGUUGGUAUCACUCAGUUAGUAAAAUGCAGCAUAAAAUCCACAUUAGCCAUUCUGGAGCAGAUAACUUCACACUAACAGAAGCUCCCAUACAUCAGGUACUUCCAAACUGCAAUCCUCUUUGCUCCAAAGCUGAAGAGAAGGAGGAAUGGCCAAAAGAGAAAAGUCACUGUCUGGGUAUGAAGGUGAGCCCAGCUGCGAUGUGCCCCCCUUGAGGCUGGUAACGAUCAAGGAAAUAUUCAGUAAAUAUUCUUUUAAUAUGCAGAAGGUACAAGUUUAAGAGAAAGAAGAAAAAUUCUUUCAAAGAAAUAGGAACAAAUAUUCGUGAGCUGGGUAAUCCAGGCUGAUUUACAUGUCCAGAGGGUGGACAGGAGUGUCAAACAGAGGUGUGGGCAGCUGCAUUAGUUCUGAAGUCAAGGAACUCAGUAUCUAAACUGCAUCUAAGCAGAGCCUGCCUGCCAGAAGGAAAAAUGCUCAGUACGGUGUAACUGCACACUGAGAGCUAAUGAAGCAUUCUAGGGAUGAAAAAGAGAGCAGCAGGCCCAGGUCAAUAAAGAUGGGCUGAACGCUAGAAAUGAAAUUAGUGUAAGAACACAAUGAGAGGAAGAGAGAUUAUACAAUAAUCCAUUUGUGAAGAUUUGGAUGCAGAAAAUAAGUAAUAUGAUGUUUCAAGAGCACGCGGUCAUUCCCCCAGUGACUGUAUUAUAAUAGAUAUGUGCAAUGUUAGUUUUAAUAAUGAACAUGCUGUCUUAUCCUUUGUGUUUUCUGGUUUUUGAUGAUUUUUCUGACUACAACUUUAUCUGAGGAAUUUUGAAGCCUUUUAUUGCAUUUCUGUGCAGAUGGAAAAAAGUCCUCAUGUAGCUCAUGACACUUCCACAUGCCUCAUUGCAUAUAAUAGAUACUCUUUCAGAAGCUGCUGUUACUUUAAGAAUUGACUUGUUAUAUAUAAAAUUAUAUCUGUCAGGUAGAUUUAGAGAUACCUCUUGGACUGGAAAUGCAACUUACAUGUAGGUUUAGAAGGUUUUAUCACAUGGUCUACAUGCCUGGUGCCCAUUUAACCAAUUCUCACAUUUUUCUAUUAUGUUUUUUUUUUUUUUUAAGAUUUUCUUUCUUUAUAAAGAAGGCUAAGGUAAUUUACUCCCAAUGUUUAUUAUAUAUGAAGUUGUUGAAAUAAUGAGGGCAAUAAAAUUGAAUUUAGCAUUGUCUUUAUUGGUACGAAGGUUACAUUCAUAAGUUUUGUUUGUUUUAAUAGGUUUAUUGUACAGUCUUAGGCAUAUGCUAUUGUGCAGCGAUGGAUAUGCUUUGAAUAUUUUUGUAAUUGUGGGUAGUAUAAAAGUCAUUUUCUGUUAGAUUGCACAAAUCCAUUACAUUAGUAGAAAGAUACAUUAUUGUAAUAGGAUUAAUGUGCAACACAUAAACAUGAUCAGUAAUAUUCUUUGUGAUAAAUUAUCUCAUUUUAAUCACUUGGAAUGUAGAGAGAUUUCAGGAUAGUUCCAUCUUUGAUUUGCAUAAUUGUAUUACAGACAGACAAAUUGCAUUAUAUUCUUCAUUAACAAUAGAUGGCUUGUAUAACUAUUGUAUUUUUGAAGGAACUGCUCUUAUGUUCAUCCUGUAAUUUGUCAUUUUAUGACACCACUGUUUAGCUUAGUUUGGAGAGAAUAGAAACUAAAAGAUAAUUUGAUUUUAGCAGAGUACAAGUAAUAUCUCUGCAUUCCGCUGUAAUGCAGUAAGCUAUUGUUUGUUUUAACAAAUUAUAAUCCAACAGCCAAAGUUAGUUAAAAAAUUCUUAUUAUUUCUGGCUGAUCCCAUGUUCAUGGCUUUUCACAGCAAAGCGUCAGCGCUUGUAAAGGAACUUCGACGUGAAAACACAACAUUAAAUUAAAUUAGAUCCAUCAGAAUGUUUUCUACUUCUCUACUUGGGCUCUCCCUCACCUGUUCAUAUUUUUCUUCCUUAUGCAUUCACACACACCAACACAUGCUCUGUUCUAGCAUUCACGGAGUUCUUUAGGGCUCUAUGAUUCCAUAGGUAAACGAAACAACUGAAUUGCAAAUUAUAUCAUAAAAUGUAUUAUACAUUUUUUUUUUCCAAUUGCAAGCCCUUCUCUUUAAGGAUAAUGUAUCUUUGCUAUGAAAAACUAAAUUGUUCUGCAGAUAUUUUAGGAUAAAACAAAUUGUUUUUUUCAUAUUUCUCUAACCAAGCCUUCUUCAAUCAUUUUUGACUGCUAAGAAUACCAGUAAAUUAAAAGUUAGUAGCUUGAGACAGCCUUGUACUCCUACCAAAUCAAAACCAGCUUCUUAUUUUAGAAAAUCUAAUUGUGGCACUCUAUUAUGGUACCUCGAGUGUUGUGAUUCUUUAAAAAGAAAUUGGGUUUAGAAAGAAAUUAGUAUGGCUAAAUCACAGAUACUUUUGUUUGAUAAUGAAACACAAAACUGAAGUUCCUGAUAUACAUGCAAAUCAGAACUCAGGCCUAACUCAUUGAAGAUUGCUGUUUUAAAUGGAAUUUCAAAAAUCUCAGCCAACAUUCUUAUAAUUUGAUCCUAAAUGCAGGCUGUUAGCUUAGGGCUCGAUCCCACAAAUGUUUUUGUACAUUUUUAUUACAUCUGAUGAGCAGUUCUAUCGGUGCUGCUUUAACCAGUCAGAAACAAAAUCCUAUAAUGUCAAUGGGAAUAUGGCUGCUGAGUGUAGGGAAGACAGAAUUCCACUCUCCUCUUCCUGCUACAGACACCUGUGGCAGAUCUGGCCUCCCUAAAAAUGUUUUGUGUUGUUUUCAUUACAAUACGUUACAAAUGAACUUCACAGAGAUGGGAAAAGGAGAAAGGCUUUGGGCCAAAUCUACAUUUUUCUUCAAUCAGUUAAAAUACACUAUUACAAAACUUCUCAGGCUUACAGUGCAUUUUACGUUAUGAUUCUUCUUGUCAAAAAUAAGUAAAAAAAACCCUAAUAAUCUACAUCUUACUUUUUAAAAAUAUUCUGAAGGAGAAAUACAUAAAAUUACUGUGUUCACAUCAAUUUGUUGAAACUGUAUGAGGAAAAGGGAACUGAAUAAAACCUCG
rnacentral:lncRNA from 1 species